rnacentral:rRNA from 1 species
GCGGCUAAUUAAGUCAAAUGUGAAAUCCCCGAGCUUAACUUGGGAAUUGCAUUCGAUACUGGUUAGCUAGAGUGUGGGAGAGGAUGGUAGAAUUCCAGGUGUAGCGGUGAAAUGCGUAGAGAUCUGGAGGAAUACCGAUGGCGAAGGCAGCCAUCUGGCCUAACACUGACGCUGAGGUGCGAAAGCAUGGGGAGCAAACAGGAUUAGAUACCCUGGUAGUCCAUGCCGUAAACGAUGUCUACUAGCCGUUGGGGCCUUUGAGGCUUUAGUGGCGCAGCUAACGCGAUAAGUAGACCGCCUGGGGAGUACGGUCGCAAGACUAAAACUCAAAUGAAUUGACGGGGGCCCGCACAAGCGGUGGAGCAUGUGGUUUAAUUCGAUGCAACGCGAAGAACCUUACCUGGCCUUGACAUAGUAAGAACUUUCCAGAGAUGGAUUGGUGCCUUCGGGAACUUACAUACAGGUGCUGCAUGGCUGUCGUCAGCUCGUGUCGUGAGAUGUUGGGUUAAGUCCCGCAACGAGCGCAACCCUUUUCCUUAUUUGCCAGCGAGUAACGUCGGGAACUUUAAGGAUACUGCCAGUGACAAACUGGAGGAAGGCGGGGACGACGUCAAGUCAUCAUGGCCCUUACGGCCAGGGCUACACACGUGCUACAAUGGUCGGUACAAAGGGUUGCUACCUAGCGAUAGGAUGCUAAUCUCAAAAAGCCGAUCGUAGUCCGGAUUGGAGUCUGCAACUCGACUCCAUGAAGUCGGAAUCGCUAGUAAU